GACGUAGGGCGCGAGCGUUGUCCGGAUUUAUUGGGCGUAAAGAGCUCGUAGGCGGCUUGUCGCGUCGGCUGUGAAAACCCGCGGCUCAACUGUGGGCGGGCAGCUGAUACGGGCAGGCUGGAGUUCGGUAGGGGAGACUGGAAUUCCUGGUGUAGCGGUGAAAUGCGCAGAUAUCAGGAGGAACACCAGCGGCGAAGGCGGCGCUCUGGGCUGGCACUGACGCUGAGGAGCGAAAGCGUGGGGAGCGAACAGG
rnacentral:rRNA from 1 species